GAGUUUUGAUCAUGGCUCAGGAUGAACGCUAGCUACAGGCUUAACACAUGCAAGUCGAGGGGCAGCAUGGUCUUAGCUUGCUAAGGCCGAUGGCGACCGGCGCACGGGUGAGUAACACGUAUCCAACCUGCCGUCUACUCUUGGACAGCCUUCUGAAAGGAAGAUUAAUACAAGAUGGCAUCAUGAGUCCGCAUGUUCAACAUGAUUAAAGGUAUUCCGGUAGACGAUGGGGAUGCGUUCCAUUUAGAUAGUAGGCGGGGUAACGGCCCAUCUAGUCUUCGAUGGAUAGGGGUUCUGAGAGGAACGGUCCCCCACAUUGGAACUGAGACACGGUCCAAACUCCUACGGGAGGGAGCA
rnacentral:rRNA from 1 species